rnacentral:rRNA from 1 species
AUGCGCCCAUCUCUCUCGCUCAUGUCUGGUCCUCUCGAUCCCCUUGCGCCGCCGCCACAGACGCUGGCCGAUUCCGGCCGCUCCGGUGAGCUCUGGCGCCGUCCAGCACACCUACGGCUGCUCCUCGAUGAGCUCUGUCUAUUCCUCCGCAUCGAUUUGUUUUCCUCUGCUCCCUGUGGUCGCCCCCUUCAGUUAUGUCUUGCUAGGGUUUCGGUGUUGGUCGUGCUCCUCCAGCUCGCCGGGGGCUCCGCGUGCGCGGCCAAGCUGCCGCCGCCGCCGUGCAGCCGGUCGUGCGCGAUGCUCAACUGCGACUCGGUGGGGAUCCGGUACGGCAAGUUCUGCAGCAUGGGGUGGAGCGGGUGCAAGGGGAGGACCCCUACGACGACCUCGAUGCAUGCUGCCGCGAGCACGACAGUUGCCUCAAAAAAAAAGCGACAGGUUGGUUCAUGA